AUUGAACGCUGGCGGCAGGUCUAACACAUGCAAGUCGAACGGUAACAGGAAACAGCUUGCUGUUUCGCUGACGAGUGGCGGACGGGUGAGUAAUGUCUGGGAAACUGCCUGAUGGAGGGGGAUAACUACUGGAAACGGUAGCUAAUACCGCAUAACGUCGCAAGACCAAAGAGGGGGACCUUCGGGCCUCUUGCCAUCGGAUGUGCCCAGAUGGGAUUAGCUAGUAGGUGGGGUAACGGCUCACCUAGGCGACGAUCCCUAGCUGGUCUGAGAGGAUGACCAGCCACACUGGAACUGAGACACGGUCCAGACUCCUACGGGAGGCAGCAGUGGGGAAUAUUGCACAAUGGGCUCAAGCCUGAUGCAGCCAUGCCGCGUGUAUGAAGAAGGCCUUCGGGUUGUAAAGUACUUUCAGCGGGGAUGAAGGGAGUAAAGUUAAUACCUUUGCUCAUUGACGUUACCCGCAGAAGAAGCACCGGCUAACUCCGUG
rnacentral:rRNA from 1 species